rnacentral:rRNA from 1 species
GACGAACGCUAGCGGCAGGCCUAAUACAUGCAAGUCGAACGGUGUCUUCGGACAUAGUGGCGCACGGGUGCGUAACACGUAUGCAACCUACCUUACAUUGGGGGAUAGCCUUUCGAAAGGGAGAUUAAUACCGCAUAAGACAGUAGCUGGGCAUCCAGCAGCUGUUAAAGAUUUAUCGAUGUAAGCUGGGCAUGCGUCCAAUUAGCUAGUUGGUGAGGUAACGGCUCACCAAGGCAAUGAUUGGUAGGGGAACUGAGAGGUCAAUCCCCCUCACUGGCACUGAGAUACGGGCCAGACUCCUACGGGAGGCAGCAGUAGGGAAUAUUGGGCAAUGGACGCAAGUCUGACCCAGCCAUGCCGCGUGCAGGAUGAAGGCGUUAUGCGUUGUAAACUGCUUUCAUACAGGAAGAAACGACUCUUGCGAGAGGCAUUGACGGUACUGUAUGAAUAAGCACCGGCUAACUCCGUGCCAGCCGCCGCCGUAAUAC